rnacentral:rRNA from 1 species
CCUGGUUGAUCCUGCCAGUAGUCAUAUGCUUGUCUCAAAGAUUAAGCCAUGCACGUGCAAGUUUAAACUGUCCCAGUGAAACUGCGAAUGGCUCAUUAAAUCAGUUAUGGUUCCUUUGAUCGUCACAUCCUACAUGGAUAACUGUGGUAAUUCUAGAGCUAAUACAUGCGGAAGAAGCGCCGACCUCACGGUCUGGCGUGCAUUUAUUCAGUCCAAGACCGACCCGGGGUUCGCCCCGGUUCCUUUUGGUGACUCUGGAUAACCCAGUCGAUCGCACGGUCUUCGCACCGGCGACAGAUCAUUCAAAUGUCUGCCUUAUCAACUUNCCAGCCGAUCGCACGGUCUUCGCACCGGCGACAGAUCAUUCGAAUGUCUGCCCUAUCAACUUUCGAUGGUAGGUUCUGUGCCUACCAUGGUGGCAACGGGUGACGGGGAAUCAGGGUUCGGUUCCGGAGAGGGAGCCUGAGAAACGGCUACCACAUCCAAGGAAGGCAGCAGGCGCGCAAAUUACCCACUCCCGACUCGGGGAGGUAGUGACGAAAAAUAACAAUACGGGACUCUUUCGAGGCCCCGUAAUUGGAAUGGGUACACUUUAAAUCCUUUAACGAGGAUCUAUUGGAGGGCAAGUCUGGUGCCAGCAGCCGCGGUAAUUCCAGCUCCAAUAGCGUAUAUUAAAGUUGUUGCGGUUAAAAAGCUCGUAGUUGGAUCUUGGGACCGGGCUUGCGGUCCGCCGCGAGGCGUGUCACUGCUCGUCCCGGCCCUCCCCGCCGGAUUCUCCUUGGUGCCCUUAACUGAGUGCCUCGGGGUGCCGGAGCGUUUACUUUGAAAAAAUUAGAGUGUUCAAAGCAGGCCUGGCGCCUGAAUAGUGGUGCAUGGAAUAAUGGAAUAGGACCUCGGUUCUAUUUCGUUGGUUUUCGGAACGUGAGGUAAUGAUCAAGAGGGACGGACGGGGGCAUUCGUAUUGCGGCGGGAGAGGUGAAAUUCUUGGAUCGCCGCAAGACGAACCACUGCGAAAGCAUUUGCCAAGAAUGUUUUCAUUGAUCAAGAACGAAAGUUGUGGGCGCGAAGGCCAAGAAGAGCGGGCCCUAGUCACAACUGUAAACGAUGCCGACUAACGGUCCGUUGCUGAUAAUGGUCACACACGGCGGGCGGUUACCGGGAAACCAAAGUGUCUGGGCCCCGGGGGAAGUAUGGUUGCAAAACUGAAACCUCAAGGAAAUGACGGAAGGGUACCACAAGGAGUGGAGCAUGAUGCACGCCACCAGCGACCAUACUGUCUGGCACCCUAGGGGUUGACGGAGCUUGCAGAACUAGAGGAAUCCUAGGUCCAAGAUUCUGAGAGGGGUAGGACCGAGGUGGUGGUGUUGAAGAGAUACAUUGACCAAGAAAACGACUUUGCAAACCAUCAGAGUCAAGCAGGCACGCUCUGACCCAUGAAAUGAACCAAAGGAAUCAAUAGCCAAUUGCCAAGCGGAAGUCCGGGAGAGGCCCACAAGAUCGGUCAGGAGUGAGACAGAGCGCAGGGCACAUGAUUGCUGGUCCGCUUCGUUACACAUGGUUCCUAGGGCGGGAUGGGGUUCUCCUGGAGUUCAGCGGAGCUAGUGGGAUUUUCCUGCUGGCUUUCGGGACCGGCAGGGCGUCGGGACCACCUCACGGUGGGACCGGGAGCGCGUGCUCGGGAGGAAUACUUGCUGCCACCUGCCGAGGUUGACUGCGUAGCCAGCGGUCGAUAGCAAGGGGGAAUCCGCCGGCAAGCCGGGGAACAGGAGUUUCCUCACGCUUCCGGUGUCUUCGAAGAAGGCGCAUCCUUGGACGAGGUAGACGACUUGCCGAUAGGCCCCGUUAUGGCUAGGGGUGGAUCCGGUG